rnacentral:rRNA from 1 species
GAGUUUGAUCCUGGCUCAGGAUGAACGCUAGCUACAGGCUUAACACAUGCAAGUCGAGGGGAAACGGGCGUCAGGCUUGCCUGACGCAGUCGUCGACCGGCGAAUGGGUGAGUAACGCGUAUCCAACCUGCCCGCAAGCGGGGAAUAGGCUUUCGAAAGAAAGAUUAAUACCCCAUGUACUCCUCAGCAGUCAUCUAAAGAGGAGCAAAGAUUUAUCGCUUGCGGAUGGGGAUGCGUCUGAUUAGGCAGUUGGCGGGUUAACAGCCCACCAAACCGACGAUCAGUAGGGGUUCUGAGAGGAAGGUCCCCCACAUUGGAACUGAGACACGGUCCAAACUCCUACGGGAGGCAGCAGUGAGGAAUAUUGGUCAAUGGGCGAGAGCCUGAACCAGCCAAGUAGCGUGCAGGAUGACGGCCCUAUGGGUUGUAAACUGCUUUUGAAGGGGAGUAAAGUGAGUGACGAGUCACUCAUUGCAAGUACCCUUGGAAUAAGGACCGGCUAAUUCCGUGCCAGCAGCCGCGGUAAUACGGAAGGUCCGGGCGCUAUCCGGA